AUUGAACUCUGGCAGCAGGCCUAACACAUGCAAGUCUACCGAGUGGCGGACGGGUGAGUAAUUUCUGGGAGACUGCACGAUGGCGGGGGCUAACUACUGGAAACGGUAGCUAAUACCGCCUACCAUCGGUUGUGCCCAGAUGGGAUCAGCUCGUAGGUGGGGUAACGGCUCACCUAGGCGGCGAUCCCUAGCGGGUCUGAGAGGAUGACCAGCCACACUGGAACUGAGACACGGUCCAGACUCCUACGUGAGGCAGCAGUGGGGAAUAUUGCACAAUGGGCGCAAGCCGGAUGCAGCCAUGCCGCGUGUAUGAAGAAGGCCUGCGGGUUGUAAAGUACUUUCAGCGAGGAGGCGUUACUCGCAGAAGAAGCACCGGCUAACUCGGUGCCAGCAGCCGCGGUAAUUC
rnacentral:rRNA from 1 species